ACGACCUUACUUGAACAAGAUCUGUUCCUAUAGGAUCCUAUCGCUACAUCUAACGUAAGUCUGGUCUGAUGCAUUCAGACCUCUGGGCCAGAGCGUGAUUAACGGCCUGGAUUCUCCUGAUCGGAGCAAUCCGAUGGCUGUAGAGGAUCGUUCCUCCCUGGCUCACGCCGGUGCAGGGGCCCAGAGGUUGUCUGACAGUGC
rfam:Brachypodium distachyon strain Bd21 chromosome 1, whole genome shotgun sequence.